rnacentral:rRNA from 1 species
ACGGGAGGCAGCAGUGGGGAAUAUUGGGCAAUGGGCGAAAGCCUGACCCAGCAACGCCGCGUGAAGGAAGAAGGCCUUCGGGUUGUAAACUUCUUUUACCAGGGACGAAGGACGUGACGGUACCUGGAGAAAAAGCAACGGCUAACUACGUGCCAGCAGCCGCGGUAAUACGUAGGGGGCAAGCGUUAUCCGGAUUUACUGGGUGUAAAGGGAGCGUAGACGGUAAAGCAAGUCUGAAGUGAAAGCCCGGGGCUCAACCCCGGAACUGCUUUGGAAACUGUUUUACUGGAGUGCAGGAGAGGUAAGUGGAAUUCCUAGUGUAGCGGCGAAAUGCGUAGAUAUUAGGAGGAACACCAGUGGCGAAGGCGGCUUACUGGACGAUAACUGACGUUGAGGCUCGAAAGCGUGGGGAGCAAACAGGAUUAGAUACCCUGGUA